GAAAUGCGAUAACUAAUGUGAAUUGCAGAAUUCCGUGAAUCAUCGAGUCUUUGAACGCACAUUGCGCGCCCUGGUAUUCCGGGGGGCAUGCCUGUCCGAGCGUCAUUGCUGCCCAUCAAGCACGGCUUGUGUGUUGGGUCGUCGUCCCCCCAUCACUAGGGGGGACGGGCCCGAAAGGCAGCGGCGGCACCGCGUCCGGUCCUCGAGCGUAUGGGGCUUUGUCACCCGCUCUGCAGGCCCGGCUGGCGCUGGCCGACGCUAAACAACUUUUUUUUUUUUUGUUCCUAAAAGGUUGACCUCGGAUCAGGUAGGGAUACCCGCUGAACUUAAGC
rnacentral:misc_RNA from 1 species